rnacentral:rRNA from 1 species
AUUGAACGCUGGCGGCAGGCUUAACACAUGCAAGUCGAACGAGGGGCGGACGGGUGAAUAAUGUUUGGGUAUCCCGCCUAUGGAGGGGGAUCACUACGGGAAACUGGAGCUAAUACCGCGUACCAUAGUAUGAGCCCAUGUGGGUAUAGUUUGUUGGUGAGGUAAAGGCGCACCAAGCCGACGCGCUCUAGCUGGUCUGAGAGGAUGACCAGCCACACUGGGACUGAGACACGGCCCAGACUCCUACGGGAGGCAGCAGUGGGGAAUAUUGCGCAAUGGGGGCAACCUGACGCAGCCAUGCCGCGUGAAUGAAGAAGGCCUUCGGGUUGUAAAGUACUUUCAGUCGCGAGGCGUUAACUACAGAAGAAGCACCGGCUAACUCCGUGCCAGCAGCCGCGGUAAUAC